UAAACAGAAUUGACUUUUUAUUUAUCUAAAUUUACUUCUGUAAUACAUAAUCCAUGAAUAUUCCAAAUGUGUUUUUUUGUUUAUUUGUUUUUUGUUUUUUUUUUAGAGAGGUUGGAAAAUAGGUCUGUACUUCUUAAAAGUGUAUAGAGUAAGGGGCUAUUGCAGAAGAAAGCUAUGGCAACUGGACUAGGAAUGAAGACUGUUACUUUUGAAAGUGAAGAUGCCGUCUUCCUAAUCACAAACUCACACAGAAGACAAAAGAAAUAACAUUUGUGAUGCUACUAUUGUGGGAGCUUGAAUUCACUGGUGCUGACCCAGGACUCAUUUUACAU
rnacentral:lncRNA from 12 species